CCUACGGGUGGCAGCAGUGAGGAAUAUUGGUCAAUGGGCGGAAGCCUGAACCAGCCAAGUAGCGUGAAGGAUGACUGCCCUAUGGGUUGUAAACUGCUUUUAUAUGGGAAUAACGUGCAGUACGUGUACGGCUUUGCAUGUACCUUAUGAAUAAGGACCGGCUAAUUCCGUGCCAGCAGCCGCGGUAAUACGGAGGGUCCGGGCGUUAUCCGGAUUUAUUGGGUUUAAAGGGAGCGUAGGCGGGUUGUUAAGUGAGCUGUGAAAGUUCGGGGCUCAACCGGAAACUUGCAGUUGAUACUGGCAUGCUUGAGUCCAGGAGAGGUAGGCGGAAUUCGUGGUGUAGCGGUGAAAUGCUUAGAUAUCACGAAGAACUCCGAUUGCGAAGGCAGCUUGCUGGACUGUAACUGACGCUGAUGCUCGAAAGUGUGGGUAUCAAACAGGAUUAGAUACCCCAGUAGUC
rnacentral:rRNA from 1 species